AGCAGCCGCGGUAAUUCCAGCUCCAAUAGCGUAUAUUAAAGUUGCUGCAGUUAAAAAGCUCGUAGUUGAAUUUCGGGACUAUCAUGUCGGUCGUGCCUCGGUACGUACUGGCAUUGUUGGUUUCUACCUUCUGAAGAACCUCGAUGUCAUUAAUUUGGUGUCUUGGGGAAUCAGGACUGUUACUUUGAAAAAUUAGAGUGUUUAAAAGCAGGCUCGCGCUUGAAUACAUUAGCAUGGAAUAAUGAAAUAGGACGUUUGAUUCUAUUUUGUUGGUUUCUAGGAUCGACGUAAUGAUUAAUAGGGAUAGUUGGGGGCAUUAGUAUUCAAUUGUCAGAGGUGAAAAUUCUUGGAUUUAUUGAAGACUAACUACUGCGAAAAGCAUUUGCCAAGGAUGUUUUCAUUAAUCAAGAACGAAAGUUAGGGGAUCGAAGACGAUCAGAUACCGUCGUAGUCUUAACCAUAAACUAUGCCGACUAGGGAUCGGAUGAUGUUAAUUUUUAAUGUAC
rnacentral:rRNA from 1 species